rnacentral:rRNA from 1 species
UACGGGGGGGGCAAGCGUUGUUCGGAAUUACUGGGCGUAAAGGGCUCGUAGGUGGCCAACUAAGUCAGACGUGAAAUCCCCAGGCUCAACUUGGGAACUGCGUCUGAUACUGGAUGGCUUGAAUUCGGGAGAGGGAUGCAGAAUUCCUGGUGUAGCGGUGAAAUGCGCAGAUAUCAGGAGGAACACCGGUGGCGAAGGCGGGUCUCUGGGCCGAUACUGACGCUGAGGAGCGAAAGCGUGGGGAGCGAACAGG